rnacentral:rRNA from 1 species
UACAGGGGGUGCAAACGUUGCUCGGAAUUAUUGGGCGUAAAGCGCGCGUAGGCGGCUACCUAAGUCGGAUGUGAAAGCCCCUGGCUUAACUGGGGAAGUGCACCCGAAACUGGGUAGCUAGAGUGCAAAAGAGGGUCGCGGAAUUCCCGGUGUAGAGGUGAAAUUCGUAGAUAUCGGGAGGAACACCGGUGGCGAAGGCGGCGACCUGGGUUGACACUGACGCUGAGGCGCGAAAGCGUGGGGAGCAAACAGG